AAAAUCCGUAGACUUUAAAAAUCGUGAGGGUUCAAGUCCCUCUAUCCCCA
rnacentral:tRNA from 1 species